GCUGGCGUAGCUCAGUUGGUAGAGCAGCCGCCUUGUAAGCGGCAGGUCGCCGGUUCGAUCCCGGCCGCCAGCU
rnacentral:tRNA from 1 species